rnacentral:lncRNA from 1 species
CACCAUGUGAGUAUACAGAGAGAAGGUAUGAUCCAUGGAUCAGGAAACCAGCCUUCCCUAGACAUGGAAUCUGCUGGCACCUUGAUUUUGAACUUCCCAGACUCCAGAACUACUCCUGCCCCUGCCACGAGAACACACCCUUUCCAGUUUGCUGGAGAAAUAUAAGAGAAGUCCAGUGAAAGAGAGCUGAGUUUCCCCAAUGAUGCCAUCAAGAUGAACUAACUACAGUUAACCAGCCAGCUGAUAGCAGAUGCAUGAGUGAGCCCAGCUGAGAGCAGGUUGUGCAAGCAUGGCACGUGCAUCUGUUUGGCUUGUGGUGAGGCCUCAGGAAGCUUACAGUCAUGGUGGAAGGCAAAGAGGGAGCCAGUACAUCACGUGAACUCGUAGAGUGAGAACUCAUUCACUACCAUGAAGACAACACCAAGCCAUUCCUGAGGUAUCAGCUCCCAUGACCUGAACAUCUCCCACUAGGCCCACCUCCAACACUGGGGGUCAAACUUCAACAUGAAAUUUGGAGGGGACAAACAUCCACGUCAUAUCAGAUAUCAUUAUUUAACCUACCAUAUCCUUGGAAUUAGGGGUUGAUGUGUUACUGCAGCAUAGUUUAAUGUAUGCUGAGGAAUAUGGAAGCCAUAGUAAGUUAAUACUAAAAUCUCACUGGACAUUAACUAUAGAAGUAUGCCCAAGGUAACUAUUUAGUAGACAUAAUCAGCCUCAACUUUUUGUUGUCUUCAUGAGGUUGCAAAUUAUAGAACUUGCUUAUGAAAGUUAAUACAAAAUGCACAAAACUGAGAAUUGUCUGUCACCCUCUGGUUUCUGGUUUCUAGGAUUUCCAGGCAAGAUAAACACCAAAUGACACCAAAAUAUGAUCUAUUCCUAUUUGGGUAUUUAUAUAUCACACAUUACAUGUGAUGAAGUUACAACAUAACUUAGGAUAUUAGGUAUAAGAUCUGAAACAAGUGAAAAUAUCUUUCUAAAGUAUAUCUAAUGACAGCAAUAAUCACAUUUUAUUUAUCAGAUUGUUUUCUAUCUGGACAAAAACACUUAAUCUAUUGAUAAUACCUUAUGUGGCAUUACAUAGCAUAAUUACAUAAUGUAAUUACAUAUGUUCAGCUGUAUUAUUUUAUGUUCUACUAGGUGGAAUCUUAUGGAAGUUUUCAUUUAAAAAAGCAAUUAUUUUUGUGUAUAUGUCUAUAUAAGACAUAAGCAGAUCAAGACAGACGAUUAGGAUAUACGCAGCAAGACUACAAUAAAAUUUUGUGGGUUUCAGUAUUAUCUCACAUAUGAGAAGAAGCUAAUGGGUAUGGAGCUUGUGCUAAUAUUUUAUUAUUUCAACUCUAGAAGAUCAUGUACUCAACCACUGAUUUAUUCAUGAAUCUAUCUAUUUAUCCUUUCAACAUUCCUUCACUAUCGACUAGGAUGAUACUGUAGUUCAUCAAUAAGAAUAUAUAGGUUUUGGAGAGAGAUUGACACCUAAAUUUCAAACUCAGCUUCACCACUUACUAACUGUGUUGAGCUAGGUAAACACAGCCUCUCUGCCCCUUAGUCAGAUGUAAGCAUGAUAAUAAUGUUUACAGUUAAGGAUUAUUGUGAAAAUUAGUGAUAAUGUACAUCAAACACUUGGUGUGCUGUAACCAUUCAACAGAUGAUAAUGGAGACUCUGGUUGUUAUUUGCCAGAAAUCAGGAUGCGAAGAUGGAAAACACAUAACUCCUCCCUCUAAAUAACUGAAGUGGAAGCAAAUGACUACAGUGUAGAUUAGAGUUACCAAUAAGCUAUGGAUCAGAGAGAAGAGAAUGAUUUAGUUUUUGGGAGAGUCAUAAAAGGUCUGCAUGAUAGAUGACUUUUGAGAUGGCUUAGAAGGAGUGAAUUGGGUGUCUGAAAGAGGAGACAUUUUAAUUAGGAGCAAUAUGUGUAGUUAUACGACAUAUUAAAGGAGAGAGAGAAUAAAAGAAAUCUUAAGUAAUUUGGUUUAUCUAGAGCACAAGGCUUUUCAAAACUCACUUUUCGGGUUUCUCAAAGAACUUAACACAGAUCUACCAUUGACCUGGCAAUCCGAUUUCCGGUAUAUACCCAAAGGAAUAUAACUCGCUCUAACAGAAAGACACAUGCACCCAUAUGUUCAUGCCAGCACUAUUCACAUUCGCAAAGACAUGGGAUUAACCUAGAUGCCCAUCAAUAGUGGAUUAUGAAGAAAAUGUGGUACAUAUACACAAUGGAAUACUAUGCAACCACAAAAGAAUAUGAAAUAAUGUCCUUGCUGCAACGUGGAUGAAGCUGGAGGCCAUUAUCCUAAGCAAAUUAAUGCAGAACAGCAGACCACAUACCCCAUGUUCUCACUUAUAAGUGGGAACUAAACAUUGAGCACACAUGGAUACAAAGAUGAGAACAAUAGACACUAGGGCCUACUUGAGGGUGGGAGGAUGGUGAGGGUAAAAAAACUACCUAUCAGGUACUAUGCUCACUACCUGGGUGAUGAAAUCAUUUGUAUACCAAACUCCAAUGACACACAUUAUACCCAUGUAACAAACCUGCACAUGUAUCCCCUGAGCCUAAAAUAAAAGAUGAGAAAAAAAACUCUUCCCUUCCUCAUCAUUCUGUUCUUUCAAGAGUCCAGUGUGGCAUCAGUGGGCCUAAGAAUCAGAAAAGUCGUCCACUCAUUCUCUAAUGCCUCUGCUGUACUGAAUAUAUAUAUCCUAAAUACAUAGCAUCUACCACUUUUGUAACCUUUUUUGUUUGCUUUUCCUCUCUACUAGGUUGUAAAUUUCACAAGUUUAGUGACCAC